rnacentral:rRNA from 1 species
CAGCCGCCGCGGGAAUACGAAGGGUGCAAGCGUUACUCGGAAUUACUGGGCGUAAAGCGUGCGUAGGUGGUGGUUUAAGUCCGUUGUGAAAGCCCUGGGCUCAACCUGGGAAUUGCAGUGGAUACUGGGUCACUAGAGUGUGGUAGAGGAUAGUGGAAUUUCCGGUGUAGCAGUGAAAUGCGUAGAGAUCGGGAGGAACAUCAGUGGCGAAGGCGGCCAUCUGGGACAACACUGACGCUGAGGCACGAAAGCGUGGGGAGCAAACAGGAUUAGAUACCCCGGUAGUCCCUGUCUCUUAUAC